UACGAAGGGGGCUAGCGUUGUUCGGAAUAACUGGGCGUAAAGCGCACGUAGGCGGAUUGGAAAGUUAGGGGUGAAAUCCCAAGGCUCAACCUUGGAACUGCCUCUAAAACUAUCAGUCUAGAGAUCGAGAGAGGUGAGUGGAAUUCCGAGUGUAGAGGUGAAAUUCGUAGAUAUUCGGAGGAACACCAGUGGCGAAGGCGGCUCACUGGCUCGAUACUGACGCUGAGGUGCGAAAGCGUGGGGAGCAAAC
rnacentral:rRNA from 1 species